rnacentral:rRNA from 1 species
AUUGAACGCUGGCGGCAGGCCUAACACAUGCACGUCGAGCGGAGCGGCGGACGGGUGAGUAAUGCCUAGUAAUCUGCCUGGUAGUGGGGGAUAACGUACGGAAACGGGAGCUAAUACCGCAUACUAUCAGAUGAGCCUAGGUCGGAUUAGCUAGAUGGUGGGGUAAGGGCCUACAAAGGCGACGAUCCGUAACUUGUGUGAGAUGAUGAUCAGUAACACUGGAACUGAUACACGGUCCAGAAUCCUACGGACGGCAGCAGUGGGGAAUUUUGUACAAUGGGCGAAAGCCUGAUUCAGCCAUGCCGCGUGUGUGAAGAAGGUCUUCGGAUUGAAAAGCACUUUAAGUUGGGAGGCGUUACCAACAGAAUAAGCACCGGCUAACUCCGUGCAAGCAGCCGCGGUAAUAC